GACGAACGCUGGCGGCGUGCCUAAUACAUGCAAGUAGAACGCACAGUUUAUACCGUAGCUUGCUACACCAUAGACUGUGAGUUGCGAACGGGUGAGUAACGCGUAGGUAACCUGCCUGGUAGCGGGGGAUAACUAUUGGAAACGAUAGCUAAUACCGCAUAAUAUUAAUUAUUGCAUGAUAAUUAAUUGAAAGGUGCAAUUGCACCACUACCAGAUGGACCUGCGUUGUAUUAGCUAGUAGGUGAGGUAACGGCUCACCUAGGCGACGAUACAUAGCCGACCUGAGAGGGUGAACGGCCACACUGGGACUGGGACACGGCCCAGACUCCUACGGGAGGCAGCAGUAGGGAAUCUUCGGCAAUGGACGAAAGUCUGACCGAGCAACGCCGCGUGAGUGAAGAAGGGUUUCGGAUCGUAAAGCUCUGUUGUAAGAGAAGAACGGGUGUGAGAGUGGAAAGUUCACACUGUGACGGUAUCUUACCAGAAAGGGACGGCUAACUACGUG
rnacentral:rRNA from 1 species